rnacentral:rRNA from 1 species
UGACGAGUGGCGCACGGGUGUGGAACGCGUAUCGAACCUGCCCCUGUCAGGGGAAUAGCCCAUGGAAACGUGGACUAAUGCCCCAUAGCAUCCAAUUACCGCAUGGUAACUGGAUUAAAGAUUUAUCGGACAGGGAUGGCGAUGCGUAUCAUUAGUUAGUUGGUAAGGUAACGGCUUACCAAGACCACGAUGAUUAGGGGCCCUGAGAGGGGGAUCCCCCACACUGGUACUGAGACACGGACCAGACUCCUACGGGAGGCAGCAGUGAGGAAUAUUGGACAAUGGUGGGAACACUGAUCCAGCCAUGCCGCGUGCAGGAUGACUGCCCUAUGGGUUGUAAACUGCUUUUAUAUGGGAAGAAACCCAGGUACGUGUACCUGGCUGACGGUACCAUAAGAAUAAGGACCGGCUAACUCCGUGCCAGCAGCCGCGGUAAUACGGAGGGUCCGAGCGUUAUCCGGAAUCAUUGGGUUUAAAGGGUCCGUAGGCGGGCCCGUAAGUCAGAGGUGAAAGGCCACGGCUCAACCGUGGGACUGCCUUUGAUACUGCGGGUCUUGAGUUACAGUGAGGUUGCCGGAACAUGUGGUGUAGCGGUGAAAUGCAUAGAUAUCACAUAGAACACCGAUCGCGAAGGCAGGUGGCCAACUGUAUACUGACGCUGAUGGACGAAAGCGUGGGUAGCGAACGGGAUUAGAUACCCCGGUAGUCCACGCCGUAAACGAUGGAUACUAGCUGUGGGGUUUUCGGACUCCGUGGCCAAGCGAAAGUGAUAAGUAUCCCACCUGGGGAGUACGUUCGCAAGAAUGAAACUCAAAGGAAUUGACGGGGGCCCGCACAAGCGGUGGAGCAUGUGGUUUAAUUCGAUGAUACGCGAGGAACCUUACCAGGGCUUAAAUGC